AGAGAGAGAACAGAGAGAGCAAGAGAGAGAAAGGUUACUCACCACGGACCCAGCUGAACUGCCAAGGCACUUCAAAGCCCUGCGGGUCAUUCAUCAUCCCCCUGACGCUCCAGCAAAUGCUCAGCCUCAGCUCAGUGCCAAGGAUUUGUUAUGACUUGUGAGCCGGCUGACAGACAGGCCAUGACAUGAUUAAUCGUUUUCUUCUGAUCUAAUUUUGGAACAUGAAAAACAGCACAUUUGUCUCGAAGAAAAAUGAUGUGCCGAACUGCGCAGAUGGAAAUUUCGAGCAAUGAGAAAGAUUAAAGUGAAA